rnacentral:tRNA from 1 species
CAAAAUGUAGCUUAAUAUUAAAGCAUCUCGCUUACACCGAAACUAUGCUCGUGAAAGUCGAGUCAUUUUGA